rnacentral:rRNA from 1 species
UACGUAGGGUGCAGGCGUUAAUCGGAAUUACUGGGCGUAAAGCGUGCGCAGGCGGUUUCUUAAGUCAGAUGUGAAAGCCCCGGGCUUAACCUGGGAACUGCGUUUGAAACUGGGAGACUUGAGUGUGGCAGAGGAGGGUGGAAUUCCACGUGUAGCAGUGAAAUGCGUAGAUAUGUGGAGGAACACCGAUGGCGAAGGCAGCCCCCUGGGUUAACACUGACGCUCAUGCACGAAAGCGUGGGGAGCAAACAGG